rnacentral:rRNA from 1 species
UGAGGAAUAUUGGACAAUGGGCGCAAGCCUGAUCCAGCAAUGCCGCGUGCAGGAUGAAGGCCUUCGGGUUGUAAACUGCUUUUGUACGGAGCGAAAAGGUCUGCCCUAAUACGGUGGGCUCAUGACGGUGCCGUAAGAAUAAGCACCGGCUAACUACGUGCUAGCAGCCGCGGUAAUACGUAGGGUGCGAGCGUUAAUCGGAAUUACUGGGCGUAAAGCGUGCGCAGGCGGUUAUAUAAGACAGAUGUGAAAUCCCCGGGCUCAACCUGGGACCUGCAUUUGUGACUGUAUAGCUAGAGUACGGUAGAGGGGGAUGGAAUUCCGCGUGUAGCAGUGAAAUGCGUAGAUAUGCGGAGGAACACCGAUGGCGAAGGCAAUCCCCUGGACCUGUACUGACGCUCAUGCACGAAAGCGUGGGGAGCAAACA